rnacentral:rRNA from 1 species
CGGGGUAGAGGCCCGCCGCGGUAACGACGGGUAACGGGGAAUCAGGGUUCGAUUCCGGAGAGGGAGCCCGAGAAACGGCUACCACUUCCAAGGAAGGCAGCAGGCGCGCAACUUACCCUAAUCUCGAUUCGAGGAGGUAGUGACAAGAAAUACCGAUGCGGGACCCUACGGGGUGCCGCGUUCGGAAUGAGUACGAUUCGAACCACCUAACGAGGAACGAUCGGAGGGCAAGUCUGGUGCCAGCAGCCGCGGUAAUUCCAGCUCCAAUAGCGUACGUUAAAGUUGCUGCAGUUAAAAAGCUCGUAGUUGAACGUUCGGGUUCCGCGGGACGGGGCCGCCCCGCGAGGGACGGCGCCGCCCCGGGGCUCGUGAUAUCUCAUCUCGCCGCCCGUCGCGAGGCGGACGGAGGGAUGGAUGAGGUUACCUGGAAAAAAUCGGGGC